CCCGUCACAUCACGAAAGUGGAUUGUACUAGAAGUCUGCGCGCUAACCGCAAGAGGCAGCGCCCAAGGUGUGAUUCAUGAUUGGGGUG
rnacentral:rRNA from 1 species